ACGCUAGCGGCAGCUUAACACAUGCAAGUCGAACGGUAACUCUUGGUGCUUGCACCAAAAGACGAGUGGCGGACGGGUGCGUAACGUGUAUGCAAUCUACCUUUUACUAGGGUAUAGCCCAGAGAAAUUUGGAUUAAUCCCCUAUAAUAUCAUGAAAUCGCAUGGUUUUAUGAUUAAAGCUUCGGCGGUAGAAGAUGAGCAUGCAUCCUAUUAGUUUGUAGGUGAGGUAACGGCUCACCUAGACUACGAUAGGUAGGGGCCCUGAGAGGGGGAUCCCCCACACUGGUACUGAGACACGGACCAGACUCCUACGGGAGGCAGCAGUGAGGAAUAUUGGACAAUGGACGAAAGUCUGAUCCAGCUAUGCCGCGUGCAGGAUGACAGCCCUACGGGUUGUAAACUGCUUUUAUACAGGAAGAACAACCCCGACGUGUCGGGGCUUGACGGUACUGUAAGAAUAAGGAUCGGCUAACUCCGUGCCAGCAGCCGCGGUAAUACGGAGGAUCCAAGCGUUAUCCGGAAUUAUUGGGUUUAAAGGGUCCGCAGGCGGUUUUUUAAGUCAGAGGUGAAAUCCUACAGCUCAACUGUAGAAUUGCCUUUGAAACUGAAAGACUUGAGUUAUUGUGAAGUGGUUAGAAUGUGUGGUGUAGCGGUGAAAUGCAUAGAUAUCACACAGAAUACCAAUUGCGAAGGCAGAUCACUAACAAUUAACUGACGCUCAGGGACGAAAGCGUGGGUAGCGAACAGGAUUAGAUACCCUGGUAGUCCACGCCGUAAACGAUGGAUACUAGCUGUAUGUCUACUUCAGGUAGAUGUGUGGCUAAGCGAAAGUGAUAAGUAUCCCACC
rnacentral:rRNA from 1 species